AAAAACAUCGCCUCUUGCACAAUAUAAGAGGUCCAGCCUGCCCAGUGACUUAGUUCAACGGCCGCGGUAUCCUAACCGUGCGAAGGUAGCGUAAUCACUUGUUCUUUAAAUGAGGACUAGUAUGAAUGGCACCACGAGGGUUACACUGUCUCCUUUUUCCAAUCAAUAAAACUGAUCUUCCCGUGAAGAAGCGGGAAUUAUAAUAUUAGACGAGAAGACCCUAUGGAGCUUCAAACUAUAUAGCAYUGACUUUUACACUUUACUCUUCWGAGUCCUACACUUAUUCUGCUCUUUUUGACUAUUAGUUUUGGGUUGGGGUGACCGCGGAGCAAAGAUUAACCUCCAUGAUGAACAAAACCGCUUUUGAACCAUAAGCCACAACUUUAAGCACCAAUAAAUUGACAUAAAUUGACCCAUUUUUUGACCAACGAACCAAGUUACCCUAGGGAUAACAGCGCAAUCUACUUCAAGAGCCCCUAUCGACAAGUGGGUUUACGACCUCGAUGUUGGAUCAGGGUAUCCUAGUGGUGCAGCCGCUACUAAAGGUUCGUUUGUUCAA
rnacentral:rRNA from 1 species